UCAGACGAUGCGUCAUGCAUAUCAAUAAGCGGAGGAAAAGAAACUAACAAGGAUUCCCUUAGUAACGGCGAGUGAAGCGGGAAGAGCUCAAAUUUGAAAUCUUCAAGGUUUUACCUUGACGAAUUGUAGUUUAAAGAAGUGUUUUCUGCUGAGGUUUUGGUAAAAGUUCUUUGGAAUAGGACAUCAUAGAGGGUGAGAAUCCCGUAUGAUUGACCGAUUAUUGUCAGCUUUGUGAUACACUUUCAAAGAGUCGGGUUGUUUGGGAAUGCAGCCCAAAACGGGAGGUAAAUUUCUUCUAAGGCUAAAUAUUGGCGAGAGACCGAUAGCGAACAAGUACCGUGAGGGAAAGAUGAAAAGAACUUUGAAAAGAGAGUUAAAUAGUACGUGAAAUUGUCAAAAGGGAAGCGUUUAACACCAGUGUUGUUUUCUGAAAAUCAACCUCUGUUAGCUUUAUGCAUGUUUGUUUAGACCUAAUCAGCUAUCUUGCAUGUUCUAUUGUUUGCAAGUGGUGCACUUUUCAGUUUACAGGUCAACAUCAGUUUUUUUUACCGUAAAAAAGUUAAAGAAAGGUAGCUCAUGGCUCCGGUCGUGAGUGUUAUAGUCUUUUUCCUAUGCGGUAGGAGAGACUGAGGUCUGCAGUGUAGGCUAUUUGGCUAGAUACUCAGGUGCUAUGUGAUACCAUUUCAUAAACAACUUGUUGAUUAUGUUUUGUCUAUUGCAUACUCGCUUGUACUAUCAUACCUACGCUUAGGAUGUUGACUGAUAUGUAGUCGUA
rnacentral:rRNA from 1 species